AAUAAUUUAACGAGAUUCAGACCA
rnacentral:siRNA from 1 species